rnacentral:rRNA from 1 species
UACGUAGGGGGCAAGCGUUGUCCGGAUUUAUUGGGCGUAAAGCGCGUGUAGGCGGCCAUGCAAGUCGGAUGUGAAAGCCCUGGGCUCAACCCAGGAAGUGCACUCGAAACUGACCGGCUUGAAUAUGGAAGAGGGUCGCGGAAUUCCCGGUGUAGAGGUGAAAUUCGUAGAUAUCGGGAGGAACACCAGUGGCGAAGGCGGCGCCUGGGCCAAAUAU